rnacentral:rRNA from 1 species
UACGUAGGGUGCGAGCGUUGUCCGGAAUUACUGGGCGUAAAGAGCUCGUAGGUGGUUUGUCGCGUUGUUCGUGAAAUCUCACGGCUUAACUGUGAGCGUGCGGGCGAUACGGGCAGACUAGAGUACUGCAGGGGAGACUGGAAUUCCUGGUGUAGCGGUGGAAUGCGCAGAUAUCAGGAGGAACACCGGUGGCGAAGGUGGUCCUCUGGGCAGUAACUGACGAUCAGGAGCGAAAGCGUGGGGAGCGAACAGG